rnacentral:rRNA from 1 species
GAAUAUUGGACAAUGGGCGCAAGCCUGAUCCAGCAAUGCCGCGUGGGUGAAGAAGGCCUUCGGGUUGUAAAGCCCUUUUGUACGGGAAGAAAUCCUGUCGGUUAAUACCCGGCGGGGAGGACGGUACCGUAAGAAUAAGCACCGGCUAACUUCGUGCCAGCAGCCGCGGUAAUACGAAGGGUGCAAGCGUUAAGCGGAAUUCCUGGGCGUAAAGCGUGCGUAGGCGGUUCGUUAAGUCUGUCGUGAAAGCCCUGGGCUCAACCUGGGAAUGGCGAUGGAUACUGGCGAGCUAGAGUGUGAUAGAGGAUGGCGGAAUUCCCGGUGUAGCGGUGAAAUGCGUAGAGAUCGGGAGGAACAUCUGUGGCGAAGGCGGCCAUCUGGAUCAACACUGACGCUGAGGCACGAAAGCGUGGGGAGCAAACAGG